UACGUAGGGGGCAAGCGUUGUCCGGAUUUAUUGGGCGUAAAGCGCGUGUAGGCGGCCAGAUAGGUCUGCUGUGAAAACUCGAGGCUCAACCUCGAGCUGUCGGCGGAAACCAUCUGGCUAGAGUCCGGAAGAGGAGAGUGGAAAUUCCUGGUGUAGCGGUGAAAUGCGCAGAUAUCAGGAAGAACACCUAUGGCGAAGGCAGCUCUCUGGGACGGUACUGACGCUGAGACGCGAAAGCGUGGGGAGCGAACAGG
rnacentral:rRNA from 1 species